rnacentral:rRNA from 1 species
CCCUUAGAUGUCCGGGGCUGCACGCGCGCUACACUGAAGGAAUCAGCGUGCUAAAACCAUUGUCGAAAGGCAUUGGUAAACCCAUUAAAAUCCUACGUGAUUGGGAUCGGGAAUUGCAAUUAUUUCCCUUGAACGAGGAAUUCCCAGUAAGUGUGGGUCAUAAGCUCGCGUUGAUUACGUCCCUGCCCUUUGUACACACCGCCCGUCGCUGCCCGGGACUGAGCCGUUUCGAGAAAAGCGGGGACUGCUGCUGUCGGGGCUUUCGGGCCUUGGCUUCGGUGGAAACCGCUUUAAUCGCAGUGGCUUGAGCCGGGCAAAANUCGUAACA